AGUGAACGCUGGCGGUAGGCCUAACACAUGCAAGUCGAACGGCGGCACAGUACGAGCUUGCUCUUACGGGUGGCGAGUGGCGGACGGGUGAGGAAUACAUCGGAAUCUACUUUUUCGUGGGGGAUAACGUAGGGACACUUACGCUAAUACCGCAUACGACCUACGGGUGAAAGCAGGGGAUCUUCGGAUCUUGCGCGAUUGAAUGAGCCGAUGUCGGAUUAGCUAGUUGGCGGGGUAAAGGCCCACCAAGGCGACGAUCCGUAGCUGGUCUGAGAGGAUGAUCAGCCACACUGGAACUGAGACACGGUCCAGACUCCUACGGGAGGCAGCAGUGGGGAAUAUUGGACAAUGGGCGCAAGCCUGAUCCAGCCAUGCCGCGUGGGUGAAGAAGGCCUUCGGGUUGUAAAGCCCUUUUGUUGGGAAAGAAAAGCAGCAGGUUAAUACCCCGCUGUUCUGACGGUACCCAAAGAAUAAGCACCGGCUAACUUCGUG
rnacentral:rRNA from 1 species